CCGGGGCGUUUUUCGGUGUGCUGCAUGUUGCUGUGACUUGUGUCCUGCCUUCUCCUUACUUGGGGCGCUUGGCUCUGUCACUACAGCCGUGGGUGCCCAGGACCCUAUUUGGGGUCAAGGUGGGCUCCUUUUCUGGGGUCUUGUGGGACCUGAUGCAAGAACUGGGCUCCUAGAAGUGUGCAGCGCGUCCUGGGUGUUACUUGGGUGGUGUCUGUGUGGUUUGGCGUGUUGGCGUGAGUUUCAAGUGUGUCUGAAGGUGUACUUGGCGUUAGGUCAUGCGUGUGGUGGACUUUGCCCUAGUUUGCUGAUUCUGAGAGGCAGCGUCAGACAGUUCCCGUUAGUGACAAACUUUUCUGCUACUUUGAGAGUGUUCUUAAACUUUUGGGAACUUUGGGAGGAGUGUUUGGCAGUCGUUUGUAGCAAGAUACACGUACAAAACUGUAUGUAAAGUGUCAAGAUCUCUGUAGUUUUGGGGAGCAAAACCCUUUUGCUUCGCUGAUGCUGUGAAGCUGGUAUUUUUAAUUUUAUUUUCAUGGAAAUCGUGUUUGCUGUUUAACUUGGUGACCUGACUGUUGGCUUACAGGGCCCCUCUGUGUGUUGGGACUCCAAGCUUUGGCGUUGUGUACCCUUUGUGCACUUGAGACAAAAUGGAGCAACAAGUUGACAGGUCUCACUAAGUAAUUUGGCCUGGCCCUGAAUUUGAAGCUCUCCUUCUGCCUCAUCCUUCCAAGUGCUGGGAUUUGUACAGAACUGGGAAUUGAACUCAGGC